rnacentral:ribozyme from 1 species
CUUCUUUCUUUUUUUUUUUUUAUGUCUUUUUUCUUCUUUUUUUC